rfam:Ictidomys tridecemlineatus contig022031, whole genome shotgun sequence.
UGGGCUGUAGCUCAGUGGUAGAGCACUUGACUAGCAACACAUGAGGCACUGGGUUCAAACCUCAGCACCACAU